rnacentral:rRNA from 1 species
GAUGAACGCUGGCGGCGUGCCUAAUACAUGCAAGUCGAGCGAACAGACGAGGAGCUUGCUCCUCUGACGUUAGCGGCGGACGGGUGAGUAACACGUGGAUAACCUACCUAUAAGACUGGGAUAACUUCGGGAAACCGGAGCUAAUACCGGAUAAUAUAUUGAACCGCAUGGUUCAAUAGUGAAAGACGGUUUUGCUGUCACUUAUAGAUGGAUCCGCGCCGCAUUAGCUAGUUGGUAAGGUAACGGCUUACCAAGGCAACGAUGCGUAGCCGACCUGAGAGGGUGAUCGGCCACUCUGGAACUGAGACACGGUCCAGACUCCUACGGGAGGCAGCAGUAGGGAAUCUUCCGCAAUGGGCGAAAGCCUGACGGAGCAACGCCGCGUGAGUGAUGAAGGUCUUCGGAUCGCAAAACUCUGUUAUUAGGGAAGAACAAAUGUGUAAGUAACUAUGCACGUCUUGACGGUACCUAAUCAGAAAGCCACGGCUAACUACGUG